rnacentral:rRNA from 1 species
GGCCUUGCGCUCUUUGAGCGGCCGAUGUCAGAUUAGCUAGUUGGUGAGGUAAAGGCUUACCAAGGCGACGAUCUGUAGCGGGUCUGAGAGGAUGAUCCGCCACACUGGAACUGAGACACGGUCCAGACUCCUACGGGAGGCAGCAGUGGGGAAUUUUUGACAAUGGGGGCAACCCUGAUCCAGCCAUGCCGCGUGAGUGAAGAAGGCCCUCGGGUUGUAAAGCUCUUUCGGCCGGGAAGAAAUCGCAUGGGCCAAUACCCUGUGUGGAUGACGGUACCGGAAUAAGAAGCACCGGCUAACUACGUGCCAGCAGCCGCGGUAAUACGUAGGGUGCGAGCGUUAAUCGGAAUUACUGGGCGUAAAGCGUGCGCAGGCGGUUUUGUAAGACAGGCGUGAAAUCCCCGGGCUUAACCUGGGAACUGCGUUUGUGACUGCAAGGCUAGAGUACGGCAGAGGGGGGUGGAAUUCCACGUGUAGCAGUGAAAUGCGUAGAGAUGUGGAGGAACACCAAUGGCGAAGGCAGCCCCCUGGGUCGAUACUGACGCUCAUGCACGAAAGCGUGGGUAGCAAACAGGAUUAGAUACCCUGGUAGUCCACGCCCUAAACUAUGUCAACUAGGUGUUGGGUGGGUAAAACCAUUUAGUACCGUAGCUAACGCGUGAAGUUGACCGCCUGGGGAGUACGGCCGCAAGGUUAAAACUCAAGGGAAUUGACGGGGACCCGCACAAGCGGUGGAUGAUGUGGAUUAAUUCGAUGCAACGCGAAAAACCUUACCUACCCUUGACAUGCCAGGAACUUGCCAGAGAUGGCUUGGUGCCCGAAAGGGAGCCUGGACACAGGUGCUGCAUGGCUGUCGUCAGCUCGUGUCGUGAGAUGUUGGGUUAAGUCCCGCAACGAGCGCAACCCUUGUCGUUAAUUGCCAUCAUUUGGUUGGGCACUUUAACGAGACUGCCGGUGACAAACCGGAGGAAGGUGGGGAUGACGUCAAGUCCUCAUGGCCCUUAUGGGUAGGGCUUCACACGUCAUACAAUGGUCGGUACAGAGGGUUGCCAAGCCGCGAGGCGGAGCCAAUCCCAGAAAGCCGAUCGUAGUCCGGAUUGCAGGCUGCAACUCGCCUGCAUGAAGCCGGAAUCGCUAGUAAUCGUGGAUCAGCAUGUCACGGUGAAUACGUUCCCGGGUCUUGUACACACCGCCCGUCACACCAUGGGAGCGGGUUCCGCCAGAAGUAGGUAGCCUAACCGCAAGGAGGGCGCUUACCACGGCGGGGUUC